GGGGAAAAGCGGCGGCUAUACAUGCAGUCGAACGAUAUGUUUUCUUCGGAAGAACGAGUGGCACACGGGGGAGUACCUCGUACGCAAUCUACCUCUAUCAGGGGGAUACUCUCGGAAAACUGUGGAUAAUCCCGCAUAAUAUACAUGAAUGGCAUCGUUUAUGUAUUACAGUUACGGAGGAUAAAGAUGAGCGUGCAUCUGAUUACCUAGCUGGCGAGGUAACGGCUCACCAAGGCGACGAUCAGUAGAGGGGCGUGAGAUCGUGAUCCCCCGCACGGCUACUGACACACGGACCCGACUCCUACGGGAAGGCCUCAGUAAGGAAUAUUGGUCAAUGCGUGGAAGCCUGAACCAGCCAUGCCGCGUGCGGCAAGAAUGCCCUCUGGGUUGUUUACCGCUUUUGUCAGGUAACAAUGGACGGGAUUUAUCCUGUUAUGGACGGUACCUGAAGAAUAAGCACCGGCUAACUCCGUGCCAGCAGCCGCGGUAUUACGGGAAGGGCAAGUGCUACUCGGUUUUAUUGGUCGUAAAGGGCAUCUAAGCGGUUUUUAUUGUUCUUAGUUAUAUCCUUGGGCUUAACCUGAGAAACAGUUUUAAAACGUAGAAACUAGAGUCUAAGAGAGGAUAAUGGAAUUUCUAAUGUAGAGUUGGAAUUUUAAGAUAUUACAAGGACCGACAAUACGCGAAUGCGAUUAUCUGACUUAUAACUGACGCUGAAGUGCGAAAGCAUGGGUAUCGAAAGACAUGAUAGACCUCUGUAGUCCAUGGCGUCAACGUUGAAUGCUCUCUGUUGGAUUUU
rnacentral:rRNA from 1 species